UACGUAGGGUGCAAGCGUUAAUCGGAAUUACUGGGCGUAAAGCGUGCGCAGGCGGCUUUGCAAGACAGAUGUGAAAUCCCCGGGCCUAACCUGGGAACUGCAUUUGUGACUGCAUGGCUAGAGUGCGGCAGAGGAGACUGGAAUUCCUGGUGUAGCAGUGAAAUGCGUAGAUAUGCGGAGGAACACCGAUGGCGAAGGCAAUCCCCUGGGCCUGCACUGACGCUCAUGCACGAAAGCGUGGGGAGCAAACAGG
rnacentral:rRNA from 1 species